UGGCAUGGCUGUCUCCUCCUCCCAUUCGCCUCGUUCGCUUCCCCUCCGCCGCACUGCUCCUCCCAUUCGCCAUGUUCGCUUCGCCUCUGCCGCUCCCCCUUCAUCGCUCCCCCUGCGCUCCUGCUCUGGAUCUCGUCCUCCUCCUUUAGCUGCCGUUCGUCCUCCUCGCUGGGUCGGUGGCGCGGUGGAGGACCUGUCUUCGGAGUUGCCGGAGAGGCCUUCGAGAUGGCCCAGGUUUUGCUGGUUGAUCCGUCCUGAUUAGGACUUGUCCGUGGUUCUGGUUAUCUAGCUGGUGGGUCGUGACGCUGCUGGAGUGCGGGGUGUCUCGCUGGUUUCCUUGCAGAAGGGAUAUUACUUCUACAGAAAAUGGCCAAGAGAAGUUCAGUUCAAGCUAAGCAUACAAUUUCUGAAUUUGAUAAAGCUGUAGAUAGAAAAAGUACCACUUCUCAUGCACCAAGUGAUCCCCAGAAGGAUAGUUUCAUGGAAGUUGAUUCGCCUGUGACAGAUUACGCUCUGUACCAGUUCGGCACCAGCGGCGCCAUCAUCGCCGUCGCCACCACCGUUACGCAUCCGCUCGGUUAGUCAAUUGUGUGGGGUUUUUAAAAAAGUUCUUCAUGUGUACAGGAAGAAUAGGAAGCAAAAAAGGGAGGUGAGCAGGACUUGUGUACACAUGAUUAGGUGGUUAUGCUGGUUUUAUCUUUCGGUUGGUUGUUAGCCCCCUACAAGAGUUGUCACAAUAUGAAAAGGCUCCAAAAGGUGUCACGGUCAGGAAUCUUUUUUCCAGGCAUCCAGUGAUGAUCAGGUAACCAAACCAUAUCACAGGAUGUGUGUUUAUGUGGUCUGGCAAAGUAAUGCUCUUCUUUUGUGGUAUGUGGAAAGUAAUGCUCUCUUUGUUAUUCAUUUUUGAAGCCGUUAAAUAUUUUUGCCCUCAUAAUAGUUUUAGAUGUUAUGCCUUAUCAUAUUAUAUCUACGAGAAGUGAAUGUGUUUUAGCUCGUAUCUUCUAAAUUAGUGUCUUCCACCGCAUAUCAGAAAUUAAUGGUUCAUAUCAUGUUUUGUAUUUCUGUUAUAUCGUGUACUUCUUCAAAAUUUGUAUCUCAACCUAGCCUUCUUAGUGAUAAUUUUAGUGGAAGACAUUAGAUAACAACAAGUAUUUAUCACCUUUAACAAAAAUUAGUCUCCUUAUUAACAGAAAUACACUGAUCCUAUUCUACCACUAUAAUUUAGUUCAUGUGCUGUAGGCAUCACUGUCAUUGCAAUUCCUAAAGAUAUGGAUUUUUCAUACUAAUGCCGCUAAUAUAUUUGCUAAAGAGGUCUCAAAUUGAAAGCUAGGCAUACUCUUCUUCAUAAAUCGUGUUUUAUAACCAGAUCAACAAAGUUUUUGUAUUUCAUGAUUAAUAGAUGAAGUCAUGUUUGCCAAUGUCACCCAAAAAUACAAUAAUUAUUUUCCAUCCUGAGCUCAUUUCCAUGCCUGCUCUGGAAUAUUUUCCUACGGAGAAGAGGGCCACAGUACCAAUUGGGCAGACUUUGUCAAGGCAGCAGGAAUAGAAGAAUAACAUAUACUCAGAUAAGGAUCUUCGCCUUCAAGAUUAUAAGGGGAAAUUAUUGCUCACUGUCCUGUCCAUACUCUUUAGAAGGAAAUCACAAGUGUAUUUUCUAUACCAAACCAUCAUGUGGUCAUCCAUAUUACGAACUAUUCACACCAGAUUCAUAUGGAAUGGCACUCAUGGCGGUAGUUGAACCAAAGCUAUCUAUCAGUGCGCCUAACUAUGGCUUCGUAGUUUUAGCGCAUCCACGGCCACUGUGUUGGCAUUUUCUCGCUAAUGUUCCUUCUUGUACUACUGAACUUAAUGUCAACUAAUGAGCUUUUGCAAUCUCAUGGCUGCAUUAAACUUGAUGUUGCCUUACUUCUGGGGCCGGUUA